rnacentral:siRNA from 1 species
AGAAUGGUGGAGCGAAUGGUCA